rnacentral:rRNA from 1 species
UGCGUAGGCGGGUAGGUAAGUCAGUGGUGAAAUCUCAGGGCUUAACUCUGAAACUGCCAUUGAUACUAUCUAUCUUGAAUAUUGUGGAGGUAAGCGGAAUAUGUCAUGUAGCGGUGAAAUGCUUAGAUAUGACAUAGAACACCCAUUGCGAAGGCAGCUUACUACACAUAUAUUGACGCUGAUGCACGAAAGCGUGGGGAUCAAACAGGAUUAGAUACCCUGGUAGUCCACGCCCUAAACGAUGAUUACUCGACAUACGCAAUACACCGUGUGUGUCUGAGCGAAAGCAUUAAGUAAUCCACCUGGGAAGUACGAUCGCAAGAUUGAA